rnacentral:rRNA from 1 species
GACGAACGCUGGCGGCGUGCCUAAUACAUGCAAGUUGAGCGAUGAAGAUUGGUGCUUGCACCAAUUUGAAGAGCAGCGAACGGGUGAGUAACGCGUGGGGAAUCUGCCUUUGAGCGGGGGACAACAUUUGGAAGCGAAUGCUAAUACCGCAUAACAACUUUAAACAUAAGUUUUAAGUUUGAAAGAUGCAAUUGCAUCACUCAAAGAUGAUUCCGCGUUGUAUUAGCUAGUUGGUGAGGUAAAGGCUCACCAAGGCGAUGAUACAUAGCCGACCUGAGAGGGUGAUCGGCCACAUUGGGACUGAGACACGGCCCAAACUCCUACGGGAGGCAGCAGUAGGGAAUCUUCGGCAAUGGACGAAAGUCUGACCGAGCAACGCCGCGUGAGUGAAGAAGGUUUUCGGAUCGUAAAACUCUGUUGGUAGAGAAGAACGUUGGUGAGAGUGGAAAGCUCAUCAAGUGACGGUAACUACCCAGAAAGGGACGGCUAACUACGUG